CUCACAGGUCCUAAAGAGUGAGAUUCCUGGGUUAUAAAGCUGGAAUUAGGUUUACUUUUAAAAAGAUUUAUAUAUAUCUCAAAGCCACAGGGAAAGAAUAUGCAAGUACAUAUUUUUGAAAGAAAGUGUUCUGGGAAAAAAAAAAAAAGUAGAAGGGUAUGUCUCCCUACAUGAGGGAGAGUUAUUAUUUUUUUCUUCUUAGUUACACCUUCUCCUUACCAUUCAAAUUAUCCUGCUUGCCUUUAUCCUUGUCUGUCAGGACAAGGAAUGGGUGAAUGUUUCCUGUUGACCAGAUGUGACUGAGAGAGAGAAAUCCACGUGGGAUAUGUUCUAUCCUAUAGGGUCCUGUUGGAGAGGAUGAGGGAAGACCUCAGAAGAAAGGCUUGAAAGUAUCUUGAUGCCCAAUGGCUACAGAAGGAGCUCUGAGAGGCGCCCAAAUCAGAGGUGCUUUCUGCCCACCUGAAGAAAGUUUUUCAGAGAAGGCCCACAGGAACAUUUUACUAAUAGAGUAAGUUAACUUGUCCCACCUAGUAUGGCCAUCCAGGAAAGCUACUUUAGGUAUAUUCAAGGACCAAGAGUGUGAAACCAGGCAGCUGCAUAGGACCUGACUUAUCCUCUUAUUUUUCCUUUCUCUUGAGGUGUUGAACAUGGCUAGGAACACAUCAACUGCUGAUCAAUGGAGAAGAGGCCUAAGGAAGAGAGUAGAGAACAUGCCCUUCCUGAUGGCAGACCCCAGGCUGAGCAAGACCCAAAAAGAUGGGGGUAGUCAUUGCUCCUCAUAUUGAUGGAAAACUCCUGCUAGCACAGCCCUACUUUGAGGAACGUUGUUGCUUUUCUUCUCAGCUCCUGUCCAUUGUCUGCAUGGAAGUAACCACUACACAAGAUCUCAGGCACGGGCAAUCUGCUAGACAUCUUUGAUUUGUAAAAUGAUUAUCGAGAGAAUGAGAGCUUGUAGUUCUCUCUCUCCCAAGUUUACUUAGAGAUUUCCUUCUUAGUUUAGUUGUACAUCCUGAGGUACAUGCUAUUUCUUCAACUGAUGAAUACCAUGAAUUCCUCCACUUUCAGGGAAGACCAAAACCUCAAUAUACAAGAAUUGUUUUUUUCCCUCAGUUCAACCUCAAAUCAAUAACAAAACCAUGAAUUAUAACUCGUAUAACUCAGUUAUAACUGAGAAGACUCAUUUCAUCCCACAGGAUAUAGAUAUGUAAAUAAACAAUUAUCAUCAAGUAAGCAGGAG
rnacentral:lncRNA from 10 species